GAGCAGACAAGUGUUAGAGUGGAGACCACGCAGGUAAACGUAGUGUAGGACGUCCCGCAGCACGGUGGACCGACGAUUUGAAGAAAAGAAGGCGGCUGGCCGC